rnacentral:rRNA from 1 species
AGUAGACGUUCAGAGUUUGAUCCUGGCUCAGGACGAACGCUGGCGGCGUGCUUAACACAUGCAAGUCGAACGGUAAGGCCCUUUCGGGGGUACACGAGUGGCGAACGGGUGAGUAACACGUGAGUAACCUGCCCCUAACUUUGGGAUAACGCUUGGAAACAGGUGCUAAUACCGGAUACGAGCUUCCUUGGCAUCUUGGAAGUUUGAAAGCUCCGGCGGUUGGGGAUGGACUCGCGGCCUAUCAGCUUGUUGGUGAGGUAGUGGCUCACCAAGGCUUCGACGGGUAGCCGGCCUGAGAGGGUGACCGGCCACAUUGGGACUGAGAUACGGCCCAA